UUGGCUACCUGGCUCUGAGAACUGAAUUCCAUAGGCUGUGACCUCUAGCAAAUGCCCUAGGGACUCAGUUCCAGUGCCCGGCUGUGCUAC
rnacentral:pre_miRNA from 1 species